GGCGUUCCUGUCGGUUCCGAGCCGCGGCGCUGCGGUCGGAGCCGCGGCUUCGGGACACCCGGGCGGUUCGCCGCGAAGUUCCGUUCCCGCUUUACUUUUUUAAUUAUCUCGUGUGAGAUAUUGAGGACGCAGCAUCCCGACCGUCCCAUCCAGGACAGCAGGGCGGUGCCGGGCUGGCGCUGGGGGGUUACAGCCUGCUGAGCUGCCGGCCUCGCCUCUCCUAAUGGCUGUGAGUGCUUUCAUCCACAAAUCCGUGGUUCUCACAUCAGUGCUGUACGACCUUCGGACAGCUGCUCAAACUGUCGCUCGGAUGCACAUUCUCUCAUACAGCCGUGGGCACAAACCUGCUCGGGGUGCUCUUCUUCCUUCUCUGAUACCCGUUGACACCCCCACAGGUUUCAGACCUGAGUUGUGUUACAGAAGUCCCGGCUCUCUUGUCACUUAUUUAUUGGUUUGUUAAACAGAAUCACAUCAGCUGCUGCGGAGCCAAGAAGUGGUUUAAAAUUUUAUCACAGAACUCUCGCUUUCCUAGGAGAAGACAUGGUAGAACUAAUUUUACCUUCGUUUCUCAAGGAAGCGGGGAGUAAAGCAGCAGUGGAAGCAGCGCAGUCAUUGUUCAGAACAGGCCUUAUUCCUGUAGAGCAUUACACGUUAGUAAGCACAGUACUUUGCAGGAUCGGCUGUGGGAAAGGUUAGCUUGGAAAGCUGUUAAAACUUAACUAAGACUGCUUGACAGUCCGUUAAGAGGAGCUAGUAUGGCAGGGUAACUCUGGGAUGUCUCAUAGUACAAGCCCAAAAGGACAUUCAGUGGUACUCAUAAAGUGGGAGUUCUGAAAAACAAUAGGUGGCGAGGCUUUUCCAAGCUACGUAAUUACAAUGAAACUAACUGCCAGAGGAAACCAUUCAGCAGCAUUCAAAGCGCGCAGAUAUUUGUAAGAACACAAAAAGCACCUACUGCAUUUGCAGCAGAAGCCAAGAAAGCAUUUUGAAGAUGCUGAAGCACGUGACUUGGUAAUCCGUAGGGAAUAAGAACCGUGCUUUUCUGUAUCCGCUGUGGUCUCGUGCCUGGUUCAGAGCAGGGGCAGGGGGUGCUGUUGGACCAGAAGGGUUGUGAGCUUUGUCACUUGUCGGGUGGGGACACAUGAAGUCAUACUGCUGAAGUUCAAAGGUCCGCCUGCUGUGACCCGUUCCCACUCACGAAGUGGGAGCGCGCUGCGUGUGCCACGAGGAGCUAAGCGGCGCUGCCUGCUGUGCACACGAGGCACUGGAAGCUCGGAAGGCACACUUGCUUCAGAAAAGGCUCUGUACUGACAAUGGCAGGUUCUUCCCUUGACAGUCAAUUGCAGGGACUGCCAGACUGAGAUAUUCUAGGUGCGUGUUUCUUCACUGAGACACUGAAGGAAAAAAAUCCGUCGUUGCCAGCCGUGUUGCACGUUGUUGAAGUGUUACCUUCUGUUAAUGUUCAUUUGAACGGCCGUUCUUCGUGACUUCCUUCCAACUCUUUUUGUUGUUCUCAAGUCUUGCUGGCCCGCUAGCUUUGUGCUCACUGAGAAGGACUUGUUUAGAGUCACUUCCUUGUUUGUCACAGAGGUUCCGUGUGCGUGAGCCCACCUCUUGGGAAGCUGCUCCAUACACCUGCCUUUAGGCGCCGUGUUUUUUACAGGGCUAACUUUCAUGGGUGUGAGAAUAGUUGCUUAAACAAAACAAUUCUUGUUUGGGUUAAAGUAUUUUAAAAUUAUCUAUUUCUAGUAUUUGUUAUUGCUCUUGCUUAUCUGAAGGGAAUACACUUUGUUCAGUAGGUGAACAGCCACGGACUUGACUUACUUGAGGAGCAGCUCGCAGGCUGUGCUUGCUCUGCAUGCCCAGACGUCUGCCAUGCAAUCUGCCUGUCCAGGAGCAGCUACAGACUUACUGUUCUGACUGCUUGCACUUAGCGAGGGAGCCAGAAUUCAUAUGGUGCUGUGCGCCUCUUCAGACACAAAGGCAAGCGUGAAUUUAAACCAACUGAAAUGUGUGUUUGAUUGAGCACAGAACAUCUUUGGGGUGUCUACAGCCACGGAACAAUCUGCCGGGGAUGAAAACACACAUCCUUCAGCAGUCGCUCCGAUUGCAGGAGGUUGAACUGUGCAGUGUCCAUACCGGCCAGCCAUCGGUGCUCCGUGGGAAGAGUUUGAUUUGGGUGCAGGGUCUGGGAGCGUUCCCGUUUCUGUACUGGCUCAAGUCCUUGCACACGUAUCAUAACCCUGUUUCUGUGUGUCUGAAAGUCGCAGUGUAAACCAGUAAAUAGGUAUAGUGCCCCCACUUUUUCUUUAAACCAGUGCUGUACUGGAGAAGCACGGUGUCCUUGGUGCUGCAGUCAGCCAGAAGGCUGUAGCUGUUGCAGAACGCUGCACUGUUUCUGCACGGAGGUACAGGCUGUUGGAAGCACUCAGCCUUACUUCUUCUGCUUGGGAAGGAGUGAAGUUGAGGGUGGCGGUGAGUUCUCCGCAUACCACAAGUACACACACACGUGUUUAUUCAGGCAAAUCCGCCAGAGUCUGAAGUGAGCAGUAAGUGGUUGUGUGUGCAGAGGAGCCGAGGGGUGCCAGCUUUCUGUAGCUGCACCAGAAAGUGGCAGAUAAAGAGCUGGCUCCUCUUCCUUGUCUGUAUCGGCUUCGCCUCGGGCAGCUCGGACAGCAGAGCACGUGAGGGCUUUGCUUCAGCCUUGUAUAGCAGAGUUUUCGGGAUUUGAUUGCUUGUGCAGGGAGUCUGUUGCAGAUAUAAUUAAACUGAAGCAGAAGUGCAUGACAACCUGUAUGCAGCCUAGCCAACCCUGUGUGUUUGCCAGGCAAAUCGUGCUGCGAAGCACUGAAAACAUGUAAUCUUCUAUUGCAAAGUGCUCGCUUACAAGAGUUCUUUUGUUCUGUAGCCUUGCGUUUUUCACUGUUUAUGAUUUUGUCUGUAUGAAAAUGUAAACUCUUACCAUUCAAUAAAAUAUGUAACUCAUUAGUUACUUAGUGUCCAUUUUUGUCUUGUCGCUUCAGUCUGAAAAUAACUUAAGCAGAAUGCCCUUUGAACUCUGACAGUUCUGAAAAACGUGGUUCUGUUUGUCAGGUGGAAGCCAUCGCUUUGGGUUUCCUACUUUUCAAGGAAGUCAGGUUCAACAGCCAGUCUUUGCUUUUGUGGGAUCCAUGGAGCUUGGAGAAAGCUUUGGGAAAAGCUGCCUACUGAAAAUCCAUAAAUAGAAUUGGGUGGUUGGAACUAACUAGAAUAAAUUCAGUAUUUCUUUGACUGUUCACGGUAGGUACUUGGAUUUCUCACUUGUUGAAAUCAUCCGUCAGGCUUGGCAGGAAGGUCUCCGGCUGGCUGUUAAUUGUUUUCCUUUGGUUACUUACAGGAGUACCUGGAAUUCAUGUCAGUGCAGUGGUGAGGCUUUUCCCGCUCUGCAGGACAGACACCACUCUCAUUUCAUGCUUAACAGAUUUGAAAACUGAAUUAAAUCAUCUUAAGAGGAAAGCUUGAUCUCUUCUCCACCCUUUUUCGGGCCAGGGGAGGAGAGGAGGAAAGGAAAAUAGCCGUGGCAGAGAAGGUGAGCUGGGUCCUGGCGGCUGUUGUUUUCCCUCGUUUCAACAUGCUGAAUUUCCACCAGCUUCAAAUCCCAUCUAUGUCUCGGAGGUGUGAGAGCACUCAUAUUUUAAAGGGAAGCACAGAUAUUUUUUUCUCUGAUAUUUACCAGAAUUGAUUUGAGCUGUCUGUAAUGGAGUAACAGUUGCCCAAGCUCUGAAAAUUCCUAUCCUAUUUGUAUGCUAAUAUCUCUUCAAGUCAGAUUUCUCUUUGGGGCUGGGCAUAAAACAAAGUACUGCAAUCUCUCACCGAGCAAAAAUGACUUAGGAAUAUGUAUUUUCUCAGUUUAACCUUGAGCGAAAUAUUUUUGGCAUCAGAACAUUCAUUUCCGUGGAGUUGUGAGUGCUUUUAAAAUACAGCUUUGUAUAAUUGGGCUUUUACAGGUUUGGUUAUUUAUGCAAAGCGGAGAGGUGCUUCGUUCUUUUCUGUCUUUGCAUUUGAAAUCUUUAGGAAAUGGGACAGUUGCAGGGAUUUUCUUGGUCCUUGGUCUGCUGUCAGCUCUGCGUGUUCGAGGAACUUCCUCACGUGGCUGUUACACAUUAGGUUGUAUCUGUACUGUGCUUUGAAGCCGUAAAGUGUUGUUACUCUUAAUUAGACUGCUAGAGAUCCCUGUACUUAAAUAUGGAUGCAGAUAGCUCACAAGCAUUCUGUUGUCGUCCCCCUUUUGCACUGGAUGCCAGGAGCUGGGCUUUGCAUCUCGUCCCUCAAGAAGGGCAGCACUCCAGCAUGCUGAGCUCCCAGCCUGCCCGUGUUCGGCUCAGCUCUGCAGCUCCUGCAGUUCUACUGCCGUCUGGAGGCUGGGACAACAGAAGUACUGCAGGCAGUUUUGAACACCAGCUCACCCCCACAACUUCUUGGUUGACAUCAGAACUCCUUCAGGCAGUGUGGAAGUGCAGGCAUUUCUUACUCCCUUUCUGCCCUGCGACCUGGCAGCCAUUGUGGCCAUUACUGCCUUGGGCUUUUGAAAUGGAGAGAAGAAAGCAGAGAAGGGCUGAAUUGUGUGGAGGGCUUCCAGGUAAGUGCUGGAAGCCAUUUCUUGUAUGCUUGAGACUUUUAUAAAACACUCAUUUCUAUACUUUUGUUUUGUUUUGCUUGUUUCCAAGCUUUACUUUUAUAAAAGCUGUUUUAAUUCUUAUCCCCACUUGGCUGAAGUGCCUGCAUUGGAUGAGCACAAAGGAGGAGCAGUUCCCUCUGCUACGGGAGUUGGAGCGUAGAUCGGGGACUUCGGGUGCUCCAUACCCACAUGUCCUCUGAUGGGAGAUGAUAAGGAAUUUGAGGCAGAGGCACUUUCUCCUCCAAACGCAGUGUCCUCUUCAACUAUAAAAUGUAAAUGUUUUUCACCUUUUAAAAUAUGGGAUGUUUUUAAGAAAAAAUGCAACAGUUGUCCACCAGUGUCUCACAAGUUAAUAUAGGUUGUUCAGAUGUAGCCUGGGGCAAAACACAGAUUUUUCUCAUUGCAUCUGAAUAAAGCUUUCUCUUUUUCCCUUAGAUCUCAAAUCAGUAGGAAACCCAUUUUUCAAUGAAUAAACAUCUCUUGGUUUGGUGUGUGUUUGCAGGGCUGUGGUAGGUACAGCUGUUACUCUUUAUGAACCUGAGUAAGUGGAGAAAAAGGAAGAAACUAAUCAAAACUCAGUGUACAAAAACUAGAACAACUGAACUAACUUUUGCUUUCUAGUAGAGUUUCUAGAUACAGCCCUGUUCCCACCAGCACGGCCGGGAGCUCAGCGUUGUUGGCACAGUGCUCAUCUUCACCACGCCUCCUCACCUCUUAACAGGGACGAUGCUGAGCACUCAGCACUGCAAGAUGGCAAGGUGAAGCGAAGCACUUGGAAGUAUGUAUGAAAGAGGGAUGCGAGUUUAUGAGAAGCUAGGAUGAGGUUUGUUGGUCUCGUGAGCUGCUUUUCAGGAGAAGACUCCUUCCAUGCACUGCCAUGUGGACGAAAAGCUGCUCAUACACAAGCCUUAAAAAGAGAACUCGAGGAGCUGCACGCUGCUCUAGCUGUCUGGAAGCACUGCUCAAACAACAAGAUCUGGGCUGGGCCAUCAUUUAAAGCUAGCCAUACCUAGAUGUCUGUCUUCAAUAUGAAUUGGAUGUCCCAAGUCCUCUAGAGCAGUGGCUCCCAGCUGGUGAAAGGAAAGGCACGGAGCAGGAGGUCAGUGCUGCAGGUGUGAAGGAAAGGGGUGGCUCCAGGGAGGGGAGGGGGAGGCACAGCAACAGAAAGCUGCGGCGCUUCGCUGCAUCCAGCAGUGGUGCAGUUCAGAAGAGAUGGGAAAGGGCAGUAAGGCAGAACUGCAGGCCUGAAGGAGAAAAGGGGAUGAGGUGGGGGUACGGGGCUACCUGCUGAGGUGGGGAAGCAGCCACGUGCCUGCAUGGGAGGGGAGAUGGUGUAGAAAACAGCUGUAAUGAAGCCACAAAAAAAAAAAAGAAAACUGCUCUAAAAACAUUGGUACUUUCCCAAAAGAACACAGACUUUUUUUCACUCAAGUGGAACUUGUUUGACAGAAAUAAAAUAAAUAGAAAUAAAAUUCUUUAAACAUCAGACCACUUAAUAACGAAGGAUAGAGUGCCUAGUGACCUAAAUCAGAUUCCUUAAAAGGAUUCCCAUGAGGAUCAAACCGUGCGUCUGUACGGGCUCCACUUCAGUGAAAUACUCUCCCAAAACGCUGGGGUAAAGCAAGCCUACAAUUCAUGCACACAGUGUGCUGCCCAUAAUAACAGGUUACUGACCUCAGUGUGUGUGUGGGCACUCACCAAGGGCAGUGUGGUUGUACACUUAUCCCUGUACACCUCCACAGUAACCUGUCUGACCAACAGUCUCACGGGCUUCAAGGCUGGAAACGCAGUGCAGGAACAACGUGCAAAGAGCCGGCCAGAGAAGUUUUUGUACAGCACAACACCAGAGAGCCUAUAGUGAGGGAUUCAAGGAGGAUUUUACAGUAGGUACAGUGUUGCCAAGUUAUUCUUGUGUAUCUGUUACAGUAGCUCAAGAGUUGCUGCCAAGGUUGGUCCCCACAUUCACACCAACUACACAGGUACUGCAUUUGAAGCUCACCUGUUGCUUAAAAAUAUCCAAGGGUGUAAUUGUCCUGAUAUGACAAGUAAGUAAAUUUGUAUGGCUUGCAGUAAGGUCCUCAUCUCACUCACUGCCCUGUGAGUUGGCUUUUAGCAAGCAGGUGUAACCACUACUGGUACGGCAGACUGUCCAGCUCCUGUGAAGGCCCACGUUAAUCUGAUUUUCAGGAGCCACAAUCACUGUGAUACGGCUGCAGAAGGAAACAAAAGAGCCAGAAGCCUCACAAACUUUAAACAAUUUAUUAGAACCCAUAUAUGUUGUUUUCAUUAGAAGAAUCAAGUUAACACCUAAUUCAGGGUGAAAUUACAUUUUAAGACCAAAAAAAAAAUGCAGUGCUUAAAUAAGGCAUUUACUGAUAACUGCUAUUCUUAGAGUCCUGGUACAGGUUUGUUCUUACUUUGUGGAGUUAGUAGGGAUUUAAUUCAGAGCAGGCUCAGCGUUUUAUUUUGAACUGGAAGGACAUCACACCAUGCAAAGGGCUGCUCCCCAUCUGCCUCUCAGACAUACGUAAUGAAGAACUCAAGCCUUAAACACCACCACCAGAGGAAAAAAAAAAACCAAACCGUUGGAAUGCAUCACCAGAAUCUGAUUUUUUAUUUCUUGGAUAUUUAAGACUCAUUAGCAGAAUAUGCCUGUAGCAAAAAUAACGUAGCAAAAAAAAUCAUGCAACUUUGAAAUGUAAAACGUCCACUGAAUGGGCAUCAAGCAAGACUGUUAUUUCAGAUUGGAACCUGAAUACA